GGCACUGUGGCGGAGUGGUUAACGCGACAGAUUAGAAUUUGCGUACCCCAACAUUCAAUGAUCUGUUCCUCUUGUAGGGCGCAUGUUCGAAUCAUGCCAGUGUCG